CCUACGGGAGGCAGCAGUGGGGAAUCUUGGACAAUGGGCGCAAGCCUGAUCCAGCGACGCCGCGUGGGUGAUGAAGGCCUUCGGGUUGUAAAGCCCUUUCACCGGGGACGAUGAUGACGGUACCCGGCGAAGAAGCACCGGCUAACUCCGUGCCAGCAGCCGCGGUAAGACGGAGGGUGCUAGCGUUGUUCGGAAUCACUGGGCGUAAAGGGCGCGUAGGCGGCUGUGGCAGUCGGGUGUGAAAGCCCGGAGCUCAACUCCGGAACGGCACUCGAGACGCCACGGCUGGAGGCCGGAAGAGGAGGGUGGAAUACCCAGUGUAGAGGUGAAAUUCGUAGAUAUUGGGUGGAACACCGGUGGCGAAAGCGGCUCUCUGGUCCGGACCUGACGCUGAGGCGCGAAAGCGUGGGGAGCAAACAGGAUUAGAUACCCGUGUAGU
rnacentral:rRNA from 1 species